UGAGCUUAUCUAGUUCCUUUUUGAACCCUGUUCUAGUCUUGGCCUUCACAACAUCCCCUGGCAAGGAGUUCCACCGGUUGACUGUACAUUGGGUGAAGAAAUACUCCCUUGUGUUUGUUUUAAACCUGCUGCCUAUUAAUGUCAUUUGGUGACCCCUAGUUCUUGUGUUAUGAGAAGGAGUAAACAACACUUCCUUAUUUACUUUCUCCUCACCCGUCAUGCUUUUAUAGACCUCAUUCAUAUCUCCCCUUACUCGUCUUUUUCCCAAACU